rnacentral:rRNA from 1 species
GAUGAACGCUGGCGGCGUGCCUAAUACAUGCAAGUCGAGCGAACAGACGAGGAGCUUGCUCCUCUGACGUUAGCGGCGGACGGGUGAGUAACACGUGGAUAACCUACCUAUAAGACUGGGAUAACUUCGGGAAACCGGAGCUAAUACCGGAUAAUAUAUUGAACCGCAUGGUUCAAUAGUGAAAGACGGUUUUGCUGUAACUUAUAGAUGGAUCCGCGCCGCAUUAGCUAGUUGGUAAGGUAACGGCUUACCAAGGCAACGAUGCGUAGCCGACCUGAGAGGGGGAUCGGCCACACGGGAAGUGAGACACGGUCCAGACUCCUACGGGAGGCAGCAGUAGGGAAUCGUCCGCAAUGGGCGAAAGCCUGACGGAGCAACGCCGCGUGAGUGAUGAAGGUCUUCGGAUCGUAAAACUCUGUUAUUAGGGAAGAACAAAUGUGUAAGUAACUAUGCACGUCUUGACGGUACCUAAUCAGAAAGCCACGGCUAACUACGUG